UUAGCACUCCGCCUGGGGACUACGGUCGCAAGACUAAAACUCAAAGGAAUUGACGGGGACCCGCACAAGCGGUGGAGCAUGUGGUUUAAUUCGAUGCAACGCGAAAAACCUUACCACUCCUUGACAUGGAGAUUAGAUCCUUCUUAACAGAAGGGCGCAGUUCGGCUGGAUCUCGCACAGGUGCUGCAUGGCUGUCGUCAGCUCGUGUCGUGAGAUGUUGGGUUAAGUCCCGCAACGAGCGUAACCCUCAUCCUUAGUUGCCAGCGGGUAAGCCGGGCACUUUAAGGAAACUGCCGGUGGUAAACCGGAGGAAGGUGGGGAUGAUGUCAAGUCAGCACGGCCCUUAUGGGGUGGGCUACACACGUGCUACAAUGGUGACUACAAUAGGUUGCAAUGUCGCAAGGCUGAGCUAAUCCGUAAAAGUCAUCUCAGUUCGGAUUGUCCUCUGCAACUCGAGGGCAUGAAGUCGGAAUCGCUAGUAAUCGUGGAUCAGCAUGCCACGGUGAAUACGUUCUCGGGUCUUGUACACACUGCCCGUCACGCCAUGGGAAUUGGCUUAACUCGAAGCUGGUGCGCUAACCGAAAGGAAGCAGCCAUUAA
rnacentral:rRNA from 1 species